rnacentral:rRNA from 1 species
GAUGAACGCUAGCGGCAGGCCUAACACAUGCAAGUCGAGGGGCAGCACGUCUUCGGAUGGUGGCGACCGGCGCACGGGUGCGUAACGCGUAUGCAACCUACCUCUUACAGUGGGAUAGCCCAGAGAAAUUUGGAUUAAUACCGCAUAGUAUACAGAUUCAGCAUUGGGACUGUAUUAAACAUUUAUGGGUAAGAGAUGGGCAUGCGUUCUAUUAGUUAGUUGGAGUGGUAACGGCACCCCAAGACAGCGAUAGAUAGGGGCCCUGAGAGGGGGAUCCCCCACACUGGUACUGAGACACGGACCAGACUCCUACGGGAGGCAGCAGUGAGGAAUAUUGGACAAUGGGCGAGAGCCUGAUCCAGCCAUGCCGCGUGCAGGAAGACGGCCCUA